rnacentral:rRNA from 1 species
GACGAACGCUGGCGGCGUGCUUAACACAUGCAAGUCGAACGGAAAGGCCCUGCUUUUGUGGGGUGCUCGAGUGGCGAACGGGUGAGUAACACGUGAGUAACCUGCCCUUGACUUUGGGAUAACUUCAGGAAACUGGGGCUAAUACCGGAUAGGAGCUCCUGCUGCAUGGUGGGGGUUGGAAAGUUUCGGCGGUUGGGGAUGGACUCGCGGCUUAUCAGCUUGUUGGGGGGGUAGUGGCUUACCAAGGCUUUGACGGGUAGCCGGCCUGAGAGGGUGGCCGGCCACAUUGGGACUGAGAUACGGCCCAGACUCCUACGGGAGGCAGCAGUGGGGAAUAUUGCACAAUGGGCGGAAGCCUGAUGCAGCAACGCCGCGUUCGGGAUGACGGCCUUCGGGUUGUAAACCGCUUUCGCCUGUGACGAAGCGUGAGUGACGGUAAUGGGUAAAGAAGCACCGGCUAACUACGUG